GCCCUUAUAGUUUAAAAUUAAAAUUUUAAUUUUGUAAAUUAGAGAUGUUAUCUGAGGGUA
rnacentral:tRNA from 1 species